rnacentral:lncRNA from 1 species
GAGCUGAGCAGAGGACUUUGCAAGCCUUAACAGAUUCCAAGACAGGAGAGAUAAUCUUCAAGAUAGGACAUGCUCAAAGGAUGGAGUUUGUCCUGUGGUGUUGGAUAUAUCCUCACAUUUGAAGACUUGGAACUAGUAGCUUCAGAUGAGAGAGAACAUGAAGAUCACAUUGAGUGAGGAAGCCCAGACCCAGAAAGCUGUGUCUUUUAAAUGAUUCCACAUCCAGCAGUGUUGACAAUGAAGAUUAACUGUCACCGCCUGAAAUGCACAGGUCAUGGACGGUCAUCCUCUCAUCAGCUAUCCAGUCCAAAUGGCCAGUAGGUGCUAAGGUUAAGGAACUUUGCUCUGUCGAGAUGAAUAUGUGUGCUAGAGGAACUAGAGAUGGUAAGGUUUUAUGUUACAUGCAACAAUUUAUCAUUAAGACAUUUUGGGGUAUUAGGUGCCUGUUAAUUUCAAUGUAUUCCCCAAAGUCAAUUAGUGAAUUUAAUCAAGAGCUUGAAUGUCAGAGCUGGUACAUGAAUGUUCCAGGCAGAAGCAGAGGCAUUCCCAGGACUUUGGUAUCUGUCGUUAAUAUAAAUUGUGUUUGGAUUAGUG